CCUGAGAAGGCCUUGGGGGUGCUUGGGAGAAGCUGAGUCUGAGCAGAUUGUGUGAGCUUGCAGGCCUGAAGGAGUCUGUCAGAGGGAGCUUAAUUGCUUUAGCCAAAAUCAAGUUGGAGAGAUGUGUGGAGCCUCAGACACAAAUCCUGACUGUUGGGGGAUGCUUUGCUAGCAGAAGGCGGAGCUGCUGGAAACCCAGUUCCUCCUUGCAAGUGGUUCAGAAUGGCAUUCCCUUGGGAAAAUGGGGACAGAAACAUCUCUCUGAGAACAAAGAUUAUGGAGGGGAAACUGAGGUGACUUGAGAGCAGAGAAGUGAUAUUUUGAAGGAAAAAGCCAAACAGGUCUAUUGGGAAGGAAAUGAAAACUCUGGAGGAAAAAUUGGAGGGUCGAUGGCUUGGACAGCUCCAAUCAGCGCAGCAACCAUUCCGUGCACCAAGGGAUCUCUGGAUGCAUUUUCACUCUCAGCU